UGUCGUUGAUGUCCAGCACCUCGAUCUCCACCCGGAACAGCUCGAGGGGGUUCUCCAGGAAGACCUCCAGGUGCAGCAGGCAGGAGGGGCUCUGCUUGCAGAUCUGCUCGCGGUCGAUCUUCUCGUUCACGUAGAGCACCCCGGUCUCCAGGUUGAGCUCCAGGAUUGUCCUCGGUUUGUCUUCCUGGUGGGAGCCGGAGGGGGAGACGCUGCUGGCGGAGCCGGUGGACAUGCCCUCUUCGGAGGCAAGAAAAAGGCAGAAAAUCGCGAAAUGAAAAAGAAAAAAAAAAAAAAGAAAAGAAAAGAAAAAAAAAUUAAAACCCGCAAAAACGUUUCAUAUCAAAAACGGCAGAGAGCAGCUUCUCUACCCAAACUUUCAUUCCCUGAUUUCUCUGGGAUUUCCUCUUUUUAUUUAAAGAUCUUAGAUUUUUCUCUCUUCUAUCAACAGUCUUUCAUUUUCUUCUUUUAUUGCUAUUAUUACGUUCAUCAUCAUCACUCUGCGUUUUUGCGUUUUAUGGACGUGCCGAUCAGUUUUGCCUUUUUCCUCUCUUGCUGCUUUUGCGCCUAACCCCCUCUCUCUGCUUGCUGCUGCUGCUGCCGCUGCCGCCGCUCUCCUCCCGUCCCGGCUCCAGCCCGGCUCCGCUCCUCUGAUCUCUGCCGGCAGUUUCUGAGCCGAGAGCGCUCGGCUUUGCUGUUUUUGCGCAGCGCUCGGCUCCUGCCAACCAAUCAGCCGGCAGCAACGCCCCCGGGGGCGGCACCCUAUUGGCCGCGGCGCACGUCAGGUUGGCUGCAUCAGAGGCGGGCAGGCAGGCAGGCAAAGCAGCGCAGGCAGUAGAGGCAGUGCGGGCAGGGAAAGCGGGCAGCGUAGGCAGGCAGGCAGUGGAGACAGGGCGGACAGCGCGGGCGGGCGAGCAGGCAGGCAGCUAGCUAGCUAGCUAGCUAGGCAGCUAUUCCCCUAUUCCCCUGGCUAAGGGAAAUCACCGCUCGUCAUCAGCGCGCACACACGGGUAAUGGUAAACAGCCAUCUCCUUAGAGAGGGAGUUUCCACCAGCCACCAACUUUCCUUUCCAAGACGGAGCACGGCAGCACUGUUAGAAAAAAAAACCGUAAACAAAGGGAAACUUGAGAAGAUUUUUCCCCCUCUUGGGCUGCCUUAUCUAAUUAGUUUGUGUGACAGUGGAGAAAGCGAGACUUUCCUUCCAUCCGCGCGGUGUUUCCAGCUCCAUCCAACCCCAGGUGCCACGGCCCCGUGCCGUUUCCCCCCACUUUAUCUUUGGAAUUCCCCCUCGCGGAACAGGAACGGGUGCGGGUGGGAGGGAAAGGAGCCCCGUGCCGCACGGGGGAAGGGCAGCGACUCGCUCUGUGUGUACGCGGUAGGGCAGCGAGAGGCUGCGAACCAAGAGCCGCGAUGUGCUCGUUUCCCAGCGAGGGGCUCCAUCCCGGGCAGCGCUGUCCCCAGUGUUCCCCGGUGCCGCUGCGCGGAUUCCGCCGAGGGCUCGGGGCCGGCAUCGGCCACGCAACGCUCCGGUGCGGGGCCCCGCGGCUCACAGCCCUCUCAGCCUGGCAUCCAGACAGCGCCAAAUAGUCACUCCUUCCACCGGGCGCUGCCCGUGCCGCCGCGCCGGGUUCGGGCAGAGGGCUGGAGGCAGAGCGGGGCUGUGCUGGCGGCCCUGACGGGUUUCGUUACGGGCCGGGCCGUGCGCUUUGCACAGCUCAAGUUACAUUCUGUAACGUUACAAAAUAAUAAAAGAGAACAAAAGAUUAAAUGUAACUUCCCCCC
rnacentral:lncRNA from 1 species